AGAGUUUGAUCCUGGCUCAGAUUGAACGCUGGUGGGGGCCUAACACAUGCAAGUCGAACGGUAACAGGAAGAGCUUGGUGCUUUGCUGACGAGUGGCGGACGGGUGAGUAAUGUCUGGGAAACUGCCUGAUGGAGGGGGAUAACUACUGGAAACGGUAGCUAAUACCGCAUAACGUCGCAAGACCAAAGAGGGGGACCUUCGGGCCUCUUGCCAUCGGAUGUGCCCAGAUGGGAUUAGCUAGUAGGUGGGGUAAAGGCUCACCUAGGCGACGAUCCCUAGCUGGUCUGAGAGGAUGACCAGCCACACUGGAACUGAGACACGGUCCAGACUCCUACGUUUUUUUUUUUUUGGGGAAUAUUGCACAAUGGGCGCAAGCCUGAUGCAGCCAUGCCGCGUGUAUGAAGAACGCCUUCGGGUUGUAAAGUACUUUCAGCGGGGAGGAAGGGAGUAAAGUUAAUACCUUUGCUCAUUGACGUUACCCGCAGAAGAAGCACCGGGCUAACUCCGUGCCAGCAGCCGCGGUAAUACGGAGGGUGCAAAGCGUUAAAUCGGAAUUACUGGGCGUAAAGCGCACGCAGGCGGUUUGUUAAGUCAGAUGUGAAAUCCCCCGGGCUCAACCUGGGAAACUGCAUCUGAUACUGGGCAAGCUUGUGUCCUCGUAGAGGGG
rnacentral:rRNA from 1 species